rfam:Oryza nivara chromosome 8, whole genome shotgun sequence.
AAAGACUGAAUUUUUUGGUUUUCGUGUCCAACGUUUGACCGUCUGUCUUAUAUAAAUUUUUUUAUAAUUAAUAUUUUUAUUAUUGUUAGAUGAUAAAACAUAAAUAAUAUUUUAUGCAUAACUUAUUUUUUAAAAUUUUUUUAUAUUUUUUUCAAAUAAGACGAACGGUCAAACGAUAGACAUGGAAACC